UCCUUAAAUUUUUAGUUUAAAUUUGGAAUGAUGAAUUGGUCAAUUGAAGAAGUUUGUUCGCAUUUAGAGCAGGAAGGUCUUGGUGAUUUAAAAGAAAAAAUUGUUGAAGAAGAAAUUGAUGGAAAAACAUUGUUGAGUUUAAUGGAAACAAUGGUUUCAAAUUUGUGUGUAACAAUGCGAAAGCAAGUUAUGUUGUUGGAAAUAAUAAAGAAUCUUCAAGCACCGCCUGCACAACAAGUUAAUUUAAAUGUGUCUAAACUUGGUAUACUUCAGAGUAGUGCAUUAGAAGUGUGUUACACUGGUGCUAGGAAUAUUUUAGUAGGAUCCAUUAGAACUACGACACCAUGGCCAGUUCAGUAUCAACUACCUAUUUUACCACCAGCAGUUGUUAGAGCUUUGGAAUUUAAAGACUGUUGCUUUCUGCAGUAUAGGAGGAACAGCUGCAGGAACCAAUCAUACAAUUGAUACCAAUUGAUACAAUGUUUAUAUGAUGACAUCAACAAAUUUACAUUGUAUCCAUUCAGUACCCAAUAUUCAGAUGUGUUUGCCACCAUAUGUAGCAAGUAUCCAUAUUUAAAUGACUUCCCUUCAAGGACUGGUAGUUUAUCACAUCAAUACCUACUAUUGGUAAGUUGUUUGGUGAGGAUGAUUUAACUGUAGCAAAACAUCAUCUGGAUAUGUUAAUGGAAUAUCGUAAACUUCGUCCAGACAUGAAUAUGCUAAUUGAUCGCCAAAAAUGUAGUUGGUUUGUGCGAGCAACGGAUUUUGAUGGUCGAUUUCGUACAGUCGAUCUAAAAGCUAAAUACCCAUGGCUCUGCUGAAUUGCUUCUUAGAUAAAGAGCUUCAUCAAUGGAUGAAGGGUAUGGAAGAUAAAAUCUUAACCUUGAUGAAAGUAAAGACAGUUUUCUUUCUGAAAUAUUUGCUGAAAUUGAGCGUGAAAUUGAUGAAAGCACUAAAAAAGAUGCUACAUUAAAUGGAGCUAUUCUAAUGUUGCCACGGUUAUUCAAAGAGUCUGUUGAAGCCUUGGUUACUUUUGAUAACACCCCAACGCUGAAUACACCUACUGUUGCAAUCCCCCGAGGUCAAAAGCUGACAUCAAAAUUUUGUUGUGUUAUAAUAGAUGGCCAAGAAAUAGUUGAACAUCAUAAUGAUGUUGAUAUCUCGUUAGGGAUGGCUUGUAUAUUUGCCUCCUAUUUUGUUUACAAUAUAAAAUACCCGGUUCAAUUAAAAAACACCUUAUUAUUUUAUGAGCACAUCAUAUUUGGCGUAUCAAACAAAGAAAUCCCUGUAACAAAUCGCAAAAUGGCAAAUACUUUGUACGAGAUUUAGCUAGUUUUACAAGGGAAUCUUAAUUAUACAAAUCUUUAAUGGAUUUUCACGAGUUUUAUCAAUAUCACAGAUAUCAAUAUUCACAGAUUUUCAAUCAUCAAUAGAAUCUGCGAAAACGAGCAUAUGAAAGACGCGAUACGGUUCAGAUUAAACUGUAGUUUAAAAAUAAAGCAAUUUUUGUAAAUUAUUUUGUAAUUUUUGUUUUUCUUGUAACAUAUGCGCUUCGUUAA